UAUAGAUCCUAAGUAACUACAAAACUGUUGGAAAGAGUUGUAACAGUGAUCCAUCCCUGGGGUGCCACCUUGCCAGUGGCCUUAUAAAAACUCAUCAUGUGGCUUUGUCAUGAGGAAAAGCUAACUAAGCGUGUUUAGGAAACUGAGUAGAAUUUGGCAGCAGCGUUGAACAAGCAAAAAUAUUGACAGACCCUGUGGUUCACAUGUGACUGUCCACAUGAAUGUCAAGACAUUGGUUUUAAAGAUUCUGAAAACUUAAUCCAUUUUUAUACACACUUUGGCUUCAUCUUCCUAGUCAUUUGAUUCAGUGCAUGAUUGAUGAAUCAAAUUGAUUACUGGAAAGCUUGAAAGAUGUUCAUUGAAGUAGUCUCUUCAUGUCUUGCUUUAGAUUUACAUAUUUA
rnacentral:lncRNA from 1 species